rnacentral:rRNA from 1 species
UAGGGAAUAUUGCAAAUGGGCGCAAGCCUGAUGUAGCAACGCCGCGUGUGCGAUGAAGGUCUUCGGAUUGUAAAGCACUUUUUGGUGGGAUGAGGAAGGACAGUACCUCCAGAAUAAGCCUCGGCUAACUACUUGCCAGCAGCCGCGGUAACACGUAGGAGGCAAGCGUUAUUCGGAUUUACUGGGCGUAAAGCGCGUGCAGGCGGUUUGGAAAGUUGGAUGUGAAAGAUCCUGGAUCAACUGGGAGAGGUCGUUCAAAA